rnacentral:rRNA from 1 species
AUAGGUUAAGUUAAUAAGGGCGCAUGGUGGAUGCCUUGGCACUAGAAGGCGAUGAAGGACGUGACUAACUACGAUAUGCCUCGGUUAGCUGUAAGUAAGCUUACCCGGGGGUUUCCGAAUGGGGCAACCCGAUCUUAAUGAUCAUCAUCUUUUUGAAUUCAUAGAUUAGAUGAAGCAAACGCUGUGAACUGAAACAUCUAAGUAGCAGUAGGAAAGUAAAGAAAUUUCGAUUCCGUCAGUAGCGGCGAGCGAACGCGGAAGAGCCCAAACCUGGAUGCUUGCAUCCAGGGGUUGUAGGACUGAUGUUGAGUUACAAAGGUAUAAGAUAGCAGAAACAGUUGGGAAGCUGUUCCAAAGAGGGUGACAGGCCCGUAUGCGAAAUCUUGUACUCUCUAAUCAGGAUCCUGAGUACGGCCCAGCACGUGAAAUUGGGUCGGAAUCUGGGAGGACCAUCUCCCAAGGCUAAAUACUAACUAGUGACCGAU